UGCACCAAGUCUUAGUAUUUUUGUGUUUGUACAUUAAAUAUAUCUUUGUGAUAAGAGUGCCUUUCACUUUUUGGCUCACGUUAGUUGUUUAUAACAGACCACAUUGACAACAAAUUAUAGUUACCUUUGCUACAGUAGUCUUGUUUCGUGUUGAUUAUUGAUGUAGGUCAAAUACCAUGCCCUUUUACCACUCUCUUUCUACAUUUAUAUGCAUGUAUAUACAAUUGUUGAAUUCUAGAAACAAGUGAUGGAUGUACAAGUCUUAUUGAUUAUUAACAUAAUGGACAUGUCUAUGUUUUUAUCAUA
rnacentral:misc_RNA from 1 species